rnacentral:tRNA from 1 species
GGGCGAGUGGCGGAACUGGUAGACGCACAGGACUCAAAAUCCUGCGGGGGCAACCUCAUGAGAGUUCGAGUCUCUCCUCGCCCACCA